GAUCUCAUCCCUUACCCCUCUCUAACCCUAGUGUCGUCACCAGUUAUCUCAUCCCAUUCCGACCUAAAAUGGAAUCAACUAUGGAUUCACUUACACUAUCGAUCUCUCUCUUCACCGUUGCUUACUCGUCUACGAUCCUAUUUAGUUGCUUCCUAACAUGGCAAAGCAAAUAUGGCCAAGAUCGAGCCAUAUUUGGUUCAAGAUCUUUCAUAUCUUGUCUAUUUUCGUCUAUAUUCAUUCCAAUACUUGUGAGUAUGAAUACCUUCGUAUUUUAGGGUUUCAAAUCUCCAGUUUAAACCAGAUUUGGUUGUACUUUUUGUUUAUUUUAUAA
rnacentral:lncRNA from 1 species